AUUCUCUCUUGUGUUAUAUUUUAUCUCUCUCAAAGCUCCCUCUCCCUCAAAGAAAUAUUUCUCCGAACAAUUUCACCUAUUAGUGUCUACAAUCACCUUAGUUGUUCAGCAAUUGAAGAAAGAUUCAAAUCCAAAGAUUUAUAAUGAAGAUAUCUUCUAGAUUCACAAGUUCGUUGAUCGUUUUUACAUGUCGCAAAUUGGAAUCCGAAUGCCUAUAGGGAAGCAGGUGGAAUUGCACAAUCUGAAUCUGAAUCCUCAUGUUGUAGGUUAUAUAGACACAAUAAUGUCUCCAGCGGGGGGUAGCGAGAAAUGCUAGAGACGAUGCACACGCUAUAUGAUGUCGUGAUAAUGGAAGUCCCUCGAUUUACAUAUUUACGGCGAUUCUGAUUUAACCUUUCCUUGAGUUAGAUACAUUUUACUUCAAUGAAUUCAUCCGGUCGAUUUUUUAAAAUAUUAAUAAUGGUAUGUUUCUGCAAUAGCCUCUGGGAACAUUCGUCAGCUUACUAUUUACAAGGAGAUUGAUCUUUAUAUUGCAAGAUGCAUUUGGCAACACAGUUAAAGAUGGUACAUGACCAAUGUUUCUGAUUUCUUCUUAGUAUCUCCUUUGCAUUUUCUCUUUCCAAUUCUAUUGGAUGCCUCGGUACCAAAGAUCAGAUGAGUAGAAUGCCCAUUUAUUUAUGCCGUGUGAUCACCGGUGCACAGAAUGGAAAAUACAAUUGCUAAUCUGAUUGUAAUAUUUUUUUUAAUGUCGUGAAAGUAAUUAUUGUAAUAUUUUAUGAGCCUAAAUUAAUAGCCUUCUUUGAAAAUUUCCAUAUGCCAAGAUAUGUAGUAUUAAAUGUCUUCCAACUUCGAGUUUCUUCAUUCAAUUAGACCUUUCUGGAAUUUCUGUUUCGUGUAUAAAUCCACUGUGUCUCGUCAUUAACAUGGCUUUUUUUACAAGUAGUGAGUAUUGGUUGGGGAUAUAUAGCUUUAGGACAAUUCAUUGCCAUUUUCUUUGUAAUUUAUACCCAGUUAUUGUAUGCUCACAGAUACUAAAGUGCUUAUCUUUUAUUUAUGUUAAGGUGGAGACAUGAGGCAAAUA